rnacentral:rRNA from 1 species
AUUGAACGCUGGCGGCAGGCCUAACACAUGCAAGUCGAACGAGUGGCGGACGGGUGAGUAAUGUCUGGGAAACUGCCUGAUGGAGGGGGAUAACUACUGGAAACGGUAGCUAAUACCGCAUACCAUCAGAUGUGCCCAGAGGGGAUUAGCUAGUGGGUGGGGUAACGGCUGACCUAGGCGACGAUCCCUAGCUGGUCUGCUAGGAUGACCAGCCACACUGGAACUGAGACACGGUCCCGCCUCCUACGGGAGGCAGCAGUGGGGAAUAUUGCACAAUGGGCGCAAGCCUGAUGCAGCCAUGCCGCGUGUAUGAAGAAGGCCUUCGGGUUGUAGAGUACUUUCAGCGGGGAGGCGUUACCCGCAGAAGAAGCACCGGCUAACUCCGUGCCAGCGGCCGCGGUAAUUC